rnacentral:rRNA from 1 species
GGAGGAAGUGGGGACGACGUCAAAUCAUCAUGCCCUUUAUGUCCUGGGCUACACACGUACUACAAUGGCCGUUACAACGGGAAGCGAAGGAGCAAUCCGGAGCAAAUCCCUUAAAGGCGGUCCCAGUUCAGAUUGUGGGCUGAAACUCGCCCACAUGAAGGCGGAAUUGCUAGUAAUUGCAGAUCAGCAUGCUGCAGUGAAUACGUUCCCGGGCCUU